rnacentral:lncRNA from 1 species
GCUACAAAGGAAGAUAGCCAGGUUUCUGGGAAAUUUCGAAGCACUUGGAAAUAUGAUCGAAGCAGAAAAUUCCUCUGAGUGGAGGAGCUGUGUAGGCUGUGUAUAGAAUCUGUGGAUUGGGACCAUCCAAGGAAUCAGUGUCUGGAAAGAAGCACAAACUGGUGUGAUGAAGGUUCCCAUGAUGGGUAAGAACUACCAGGGAAGGUUGGAGAAGAAAGGUUUAAAACUGACAAGGAACCUCCAAGCCACCUUAGGGACAAUUUGGGUUCUUUAAAGUUCCAUUUGAAUCCCACUCCCUCAACGAGCACUCUAACUUGCCCCUGUUUAUCCACCCCAUCUGCCAUGACCACAUCAAACUUACCCACAAGCGAGGCCCUUCUUAGAACACUAUUUGAGUUGUAUAUUAAAAUGUUAGGGUGCCUGGUGGUCUAGACUCUUUCCAGCGGGUCUUGUUCUCUGAACCUCUAGAGGAGGGAACUUUGCCUUCAGAAUAUUGCUGAGAGGAAGGGUCCAGAAUGGCCUGGCCAGUAUCUAGUGUGACCACUCUGCCUCUGAGCUAUAUUUGGCUGAGUCAGGUGGCUGGUGAGUCCCACACGUCCUCUGGAUUGAAUCCACCCACAGGGGAGAGGAGUCAGCCUGUAGGUUUAAUUGCCACCACAAUCAGAGCUAUCAACUGCCUUUAUUGUCUAGGAAGAUUGAAUCAAAGGAGGGCAGAGAACCUUGGGUUCCCAACGCAUUCUAUGAGCUCUUGGGUUCUUCCUGUGGCUUUGUAGGAACAAAAGAACAGAACAAACAUGUUGGAGUAGUGUCCCUAACAUUUAUUUCAGGUGGUGACUAGGAGG